CCUUUGUUGUCCGACUCUGUUGCCUCCGGGGCGACCCUGCCUUCGGGCGGGGGCUCCGGGUGGACACUUCAAACUCUUGCGUAACUUUGCAGUCUGAGUAAACUUAAUUAAUAAAUUAAAACUUUUAACAACGGAUCUCUUGGUUCUGGCAUCGAUGAAGAACGCAGCGAAAUGCGAUAAGUAAUGUGAAUUGCAGAAUUCAGUGAAUCAUCGAAUCUUUGAACGCACAUUGCGCCCCCUGGUAUUCCGGGGGGCAUGCCUGUUCGAGCGUCAUUUCACCACUCAAGCCUCGCUUGGUAUUGGGCAACGCGGUCCGCCGCGUGCCUCAAAUCGACCGGCUGGGUCUUCUGUCCCCUAAGCGUUGUGGAAACUAUUCGCUAAAGGGUGUUCGGGAGGCUACGCCGUAAAACAAACCCAUUUCUAAGGUUGACCUCGGAUCAGGUAGGGAUACCCGCUGAACUUAA
rnacentral:rRNA from 1 species